UACGAAGGGGGCUAGCGUUGCUCGGAAUUACUGGGCGUAAAGGGCGCGUAGGCGGACAGUUUAGUCAGAGGUGAAAGCCCAGGGCUCAACCUUGGAAUUGCCUUUGAUACUGGCUGUCUUGAGUACGGGAGAGGUGAGUGGAACUCCGAGUGUAGAGGUGAAAUUCGUAGAUAUUCGGAAGAACACCAGUGGCGAAGGCGACUCACUGGCCCGUUACUGACGCUGAGGCGCGAAAGCGUGGGGAGCAAAC
rnacentral:rRNA from 1 species